rnacentral:rRNA from 1 species
CGGGCGCUGAUUUUAGGAUCUCUUUUUAGAGGUCCGACCCCUUCAUUUCCAUACACUGUGCACACACUUCUUUUCACACAUUUUAACACUAUAGUAUAAGAAUGUAACAGUCUCUUUAUUGAGCAUAAAUAAAAAUAAAACUUUCAGCAACGGAUCUCUUGGCUCUCGCAUCGAUGAAGAACGCAGCGAAUUGCGAUAAGUAAUGUGAAUUGCAGAAUUCAGUGAAUCAUCGAAUCUUUGAACGCACCUUGCACUCUUUGGUAUUCCGAAGAGUAUGUCUGUUUGAGUGUCAUGAAACUCUCAACCCCCCUAUUUUGUAAUGAGAUGGGCGUGGGCUUGGAUUAUGACUGUUGUCGGCGUAAUUGCCGGCUCAGUUGAAAUACACGAGCAACCCAUUUGAAAUAAACGGUUUGACUUGGCGUAAUAAUUAUUUCGCUAAGGACGUUUUCUUCAAAAGUAAGAGGUGCUUCUAAUGCGCUAUUACAGCACUUUAAAUUUUAGACCUCAAAUCAGUCAGGACUACCCGCUGAACUUAAGCAUAUCAA